rnacentral:rRNA from 1 species
GGGAACGUAUUCACCGCGACAUGCUGAUCCGCGAUUACUAGCGAUUCCAACUUCAUGUAGUCGAGUUGCAGACUACAAUCCGGACUACGAUACACUUUCUGGGAUUAGCUCCCCCUCGCGGGUUGGCGGCCCUCUGUAUGUACCAUUGUAUGACGUGUGAAGCCCUACCCAUAAGGGCCAUGAGGACUUGACGUCAUCCCCACCUUCCUCCGGUUUGUCACCGGCAGUCUCAUUAGAGUGCCCUUUCGUAGCAACUAAUGACAAGGGUUGCGCUCGUUGCGGGACUUAACCCAACAUCUCACGACACGAGCUGACGACAGCCAUGCAGCACCUGUGUCAGAGUUCCCGAAGGCACCAAUCCAUCUCUGGAAAGUUCUCUGCAUGUCAAGGCCUGGUAAGG